rnacentral:lncRNA from 1 species
AAUGUGUUGAAUUUCUCAAUGGUAAGAAAUUCAAUGACAAGGAAUGGUAUGUUGGACAAGCCCAGAAGAAAUCUGAGAGGGAACGUGAAUCAAGACUUGAGUAUGCCGAGAAGGAGACACGUGAAAGAUCAUUAGGAUUAAACAACCUCUAUAUCAAGAAUCUAGAUGAAGCAUGAUUGACAGCGACGGCCACCACCGCCAACGUCGCCACGUGUAAGCCCAAGUAGCAGCGACGCUGCGCAUUGCAUCGACAUCCAUCCCCGCUGUAGGGCGUGGCAUCAUGCACGCUACUACUAUUGUAGUAGCACAAUAGCAGCACACGAUGCCGUGCUACUGCAUGGUGACGCAUCUUUACUGGCUAUUUGCGGUGUCGACAGUGACCAGUGUAGCAAAAAAAAAUAUGGUGAAUUUUUAGGGUUUUCAAACCUGCGAGAUGUGAAUUGGGGAGGGGGCAUGCCUUGCAAUUUUUGACAUUGCAGGCCUCUAGCUGAAAUUUCAUCAGGGGUCAAUGUGCAAGUUUUAGAGGAGGCCAUGUCUACAAUUUGUAAAAUUGGAAGGCCCUAUUAUUAAUUUUAAAAUAAGGUUGGAUUGCAAUUUUCAAAUGGGCUUUAAUGGCAAUUUUAAAAGGGGUUUUAAAUUUGAAUUUCAAAAGGUUUUGACCUAUAUUAUUAAUUUUGACCCGUUCAAAAUUUUGUUUAAAAUUAACGUCUUUUUAUAUUUUCUUUAAAAUUGGAUUUUAACUUAAAUAUUAAACUUUGACCUUACAUUAAAUUUAAUUUAUAUAGGAGUUUUAUCCUAAAUUAACAUUUUAAUUCAAUUUUAAAUUAGAGUUGGACACUAAUCCAACUCUAAUUUAGUAUUUAAUUAAAACUGGAUUUUAAUUAAUUACACCCUAAUAUAUAUUUGAAAUUAGAUAUGGACUCUAAUUUGACAUUUAAUUAGAAUUUAAUUUUAAUUAAAUUGUUUUGCCCUAAAAUUUUUCUUGAAAUUAGAGUUGGACUCUAAUUUGUUAUUUAAUUAAAAUUUGAUUUUAACUAAAUAAGUUCGCCCAAAAUCUUGAAAUUAGUGUUGGACUUUAAUUUUACUAUUUAAUUUUCAUUAAAUUCAACCUCCUUCGGCUUUGAAAUUAAAGUUGGACUCUAAUAUAUUUAAUUAAAAUUUUAUUUUAAUUAGAUAGUUCCGCCCCUAUACUUGUAAAAUUAGAGUUGGACUCUAAUUCGAUAUUUAAUAAAAAAUUUGAUUUUUAAUUAAAUAUAUCCGCUAAUUGAAUUAAUUGAUUAAUUAAUUAAUUAUUCCAAUACAUUUGUCUAAAUUAGUUUGGACAACCUUAAUUGUUAGAAAUUUGAAACAUAUAUGCAAAUAAUACUAGAUAUUAUAUAGGAAAACAUUUAUAUGAUGAAUGUUUUAUUGGUGGAUGAUAAUGGACUUGACUAUGUGAAUACGUUGAAUGGUUAGUUUUAUUCUUGUUGUUUUAUGGGCUUGCACGCUCUUUUUUAUUUUGGACGUACAAGUCCGUUGUAAUUAUUAUGAGCCUUCGUGUCCAAUUAUUUAGGCCUGAAUACUAACUAGUAUAAGAUACAUGUUACAACUUAACUAAUUAAAGAAUCAAGAAGAUGAGAAGACCAUAGGGAUGGAAUAUUUUAUGAGUCAAUGCAAUACUUUCUAAGAACUAACCAACUAGUCUUUCUUAUGACUUGGAAAGACUAUAUAGUAAAAGUCUAUAAUCGUCCACAUAUUAUAUUAUAUAUAUGUUUAUUUGCAUGUUAGAUGUAUAAUAAAAUAUUCAUAAUUAUUAUGAUAAGACAUGUGCAUGAUAAAUCCCUCGCUAACAUAUUAAGUCAUAAUUAUAUUAGCCUUCGAUCAUCAUAGUGAGAAACCAUAGUUCUCAAUCGAUCUUAGUUUAUUGAGUACACUCAAGCUUGGUUUAUUAUGAAUAUGUUUGACACUAUGAAAUAUUAGAUAUUUCUGAAUGAUGGGGUUAACUUAGUUAAAAUUUAUCUUUAGUUAAGUACACCGGAGGAGAUAAAUUCUAGAGGCAUGUUAAGCUAACACAUAAGAUGUUUGAAAAUAAAGAAUUGUCAGUUUAAUGAUCUGUGAGUUGUAUGGAGAUAUAAUUGAUAAUAUUAUCUACCUAGAUAUUUUAUUAAGGCUUAUUGAGUAUACUCAAGGUCUUAAUGUAACAAAUGAGAUCCUAGCCUACUGGGAGUCAAGUAUGGAUUCCAUAAAUUUAUGCAAGAGGGUCAUAAAUUUGAAUUAAACAGUGAGAGCAUAAUUAAUUUGAUAAAAGACUAUGUUAAAUCAAUUGAUACAUUUUAUAUAUUAUUGUUUUACUUUUAGUCUUUUAUAUUUAUUGAAUUAUGAGUAACCAUAUGUAUUUGAAAGUUAUAUUGGAUGUCAAAAAGAAAACUAAAUUUUCUUGAUUGGUACCGCAAUCUGAGAGAUGUUCUCAAGUAUGAGAAAAUUGGUUAUAUCCUUAAAUAGUCCUUUCUAAAGACAUAUGUUGAUGACUCAACUAAGGAAGAGAUGACUACUAUAAUAAACACGGUAAUUACAAUAGUUAACAUGUUUGAUGCUUGUGAGUCUGUGACUAUAUCACCUGAGUUAUAAAAACAACAUAAGAGUAUAGAUGUUAACACAUAUUUUUUCAUUUCAAAGAGUUAUAUGAUAAUAAUUGAGUGGAAGGAUAUGAGAUUUCAAAGCAAUUAUACUGGUAUAAAAUGAUAGAGGAAUAUUCAGUCAAUGCUUAUGUACUGAAGAUGAUUGACAUUAAGAAGUUAUCUCAAUUGAGUUCAAUUAUAAACCAUGAACUAGUAUUGACUUGGUUUUACAAUCUCUAUCAAGAGAGAGAUAUUCACAAUUAAUUAUGAAUUUAACAUGGAUAAACUCGAAUGCAUAAUUAUUGAAUUCCCAAACAUGCUUAAAACUAUAAAGUCCAAUAUCAAAAUUUGUUAUGGGCAAAUCUUGAUCAUUGAUUCCUCUAAAGCUUGUAAGAGGAAGUCUAAAAAAUGCUUUAAGAAAGCAUUCAAGAUGGUUAAAACAGUCAAAGCAAAGAAGGACAAUAUCAAAUCUAGCCGCUGUUUGAUUCCCAUUUUUGGGAUAAAAUGAGUUAUGGAAUAGUAAUUUUUUGGAGAAUGUGUGGCUAAAAAGUAAGGAAAAGUUUUUGAAAUUCGUGUAUAAUUAUUUUAUAAAAGAAUGUGGGGUUAAAAAUGAAUUUUAAAAAAAUGCAUUCUUGAAAAAAUGGGGAUCAAACAAAGCCCUAAUAAUCCUUGUUAUUAUUUUGGAAUGAUAGGUCAUUGGAAGAAAAAUUGCAAGGCUUAUAUCUAAUUCAUUAGCUUCUUGAUAUUAGAUACCCGUUCUGAAUCUCGUAUUUUUAUAAAUAUGCAUAAACUAAAUAGAAGUAAACCACUGAAAAAGAAGAAGUUGAUCUGCACGUUGAAAACGAGCAAAUGUUGAGGUAUUAAUGAAUUUAAUAUUUUUCAAUAAUUUAACGUAAUUAUUUAUUUAGUAAUUUAUGUAGUUGUAAAAUAACGUAAAUAAAUAUUUUUCUUAAAUAGAUAAAUUGUUAAAAAUCAGAAAAAUGAAAAAAAUAAUAAUUAAACAUUGUUCAUUUGGUGUAACAGGUUUAAUAUUAUAUUUAGUUUGGUGCAAGAUUUGAUACAAAAUUUAUUUCAAAUUUUGGUGUAAGGCUGGAGAUAGCAUAAUUAGUGGAAGGUUGGAGAUAAGAAUUUGACAAAAAAAAUUUUAAGAAAAUAAUUGCUAUAAUGAGAAAAGAUUGAGAGUUUAGCGGCAAUUAGAACAUGGUGUAUGAAAUAAAAAUUAUGAUGUCAAUAUAACCACCCUUUAAUUAUAGGAGGGAUUUCUAUCCACAAAUAAAGUUAUAAAACUAUAUAAAAUAAAAGUUAAUAUUAGUUGAUGCUACAAAAAAUUGCGCAUAUUGGUUCCUGAGCUUGAUAACUACUGAUGGCAUGAACAAAAUCUCCAAUACCCGAAACAAAGUCAUUAAAGUGUGUCCUCAUCGUCCCUCCUCCGAUGUUUAAAUUAGUGAGAAGUGAAUAUACGAAAAUCUAUAUGCCGAAAAAUAUGUAAAAGCCUACCUAGUAAUGAGCAAAAGCAUUAUAUUUUGUAUAGUGGAAGUGCAAUCCUAGUAGGAUUGAGUCACUUAGAUACCUUAUAUUGUCUUAUAGUCCUGGAAGACGUUAGAGUCUUGUAAGAGGUGAAUACUAGAGUUCAACUCGAAUUAUAAGACCAGAGUGUUUGGAUAAUGUUGAGAUUGUAGAGGUCGUCACUCUAGCCUCUAGGACAACGAGAGUGGAUGGCAAUCACAUGAUUAAAUUGUAGACUUAAGGUCCUAGGACCGACCUCAACGAAUGGUUUGUGGUUGACUCCAUGGAGGCUCGGUUAAAAUGGCUCUCAGUGGUCAGUCCAAAAUGUCCAUGGGAGGAGCAGUAGAUAUGGUUGUCCCAAUCUCAAGCAUAGGUAAAUCUCGGGAAAGUUGUGGAAGAGAAGUAAAAUCAAGGACCUUAAACCUUACCAAAAUUGUGAUUAUCAUUAGUUUUAGAGAACCCUACCCGUAAAAAGGGACAAAAGUUACAAGGGGCUUUUAAUGGAUAAUAUCAAAUUUAAAAAUUUAUUUUAUUGUAUUUAGAGUAAAUACUAAUAAAAAUUAGGGAAAAUUGCAGCUAUGGUACCAAACCUUUCGAUUUUAAGUAUAUUUUGCCUAAACCUUUAUUUUGUUGCAACCACAAUACCAAACCUUUUAAAAACUUGCAUUUAAAGUCCAAAUGAAUGAUUUUUGUUAGUUUGAUUUCAAUUGACUUAAGAAAAAUAAAAAUAAAUCAAAAAUUAAAAAAGACAGCCCCAUCUCCACCAAAAAAGAAAAAAACAGUAUUAUUCACCAUAUCUUUCACACCCCACCCAAAAUUAACCCAUCACCCCAGUCAUUGCCAUCGCCGCUUGCCACGCCCAUCACAAAAUUCGCCAUCUUAUCAUUAAUUUCAUCAUCUCAAAUCACAAACCAUUAUCAAACCAACCAAGAAACCCAUUAAGAAACCAUUUUCUUCCUAUCAAGAAUUUAUAAGUCAAUGUGAUUUAGGGUGGCGGAAACCCACCUUAUGGCCACACCCACCCUCUCGAACCACCACCGGUCGACUUCUACACAACAGGCACUCAAUAUGAUGGUGAUGUUUCAACAAAAUAAGAAUAAAAAAUCAAUGAAUUUUCUGGGAUUUCGCAUCCAAUCGCAUGCGAACAGGGGCUCUCAUAUCCAAUCCAAUUAAUGGUUUUCCCAUUGUUCAAUCCGCAAAUUCAAUUGCGGGAACUCAUAUUCAUACUCAGACAAAUGUGGGUAUACAAUUAAUUGAUCUAAUUGCUGCUCAACUGCCUUGUAAUUCGAAAGUAGCAACUGGGACGAUUCCUUCAAUUGCAAUUAACGGCCAAAAUAUUGUUCUUCCAUCCAAUGUGAUCCACUGGUGGCCCAAGUGGGCCUAUCUAUACUUGCUUUGUGAGAGAUGAAAGACUGCCCAAUGGUGGCUCAAUUAUUCACAUCGUAGAUCACUAAGAUUUGGAAGGAGAUGAUGAAUUUGAAGUACAGUAGAAUAGGAUGAGGUGGGAGGAAUGGGGUGAUGAACAAUACCUUCUCAAUUUUUUGGGGGUAAGGGUGGGGUGUCUUUUUUAUUUGGUUUAUUUUAAUUCAAAGUUACUAUUUUCCUCUUUCUAAAAUUGGUCAAAAUCAAUUCUCUUGAGUCAACUGACGGUCAAAUUAAUUGAAAUAAUUCAUUUGGACUCCAAUUGCAAGUUUUUGAAAGGUUCGGUAUUAUGAUUGCAACAAAAUGAAGAUUUAGGCAAAGUUUGCUUAAAAUCAAAAGAUUCGGUCCCGUGACUGCAUUUAUUCUUUAAAAUUGCGCCUAUAAUAAAAUAACAAUAAAAAAGCAACUCAUCAGCAGUAAUAUUACAAAGAAUAAUAAAAUGAUAGUUUAACUCAUUUGUCAUCAGUUAUCAAAGCAGCAUCAAUGAUUACCAACAAAGUCACCGACAAUAAUCGUUGAUGGAGGUUCGUUGUUGAUCACAGAGAACUUCAUCCAAAUCACUAACAUGCAUUGAUUUUAUUAUAUAAUCGUCGACGAUGUUUUCACUAUAAAACAUAACCUCUAAAUUGCUUGAAUUACAUCUAAAUUGAGAUUUUCUUGUUUUCACUAUAAAACUUCCACCCUUAAUGAGGUUGAUUAAUAUUUAUUUUUUCAUUAAUCUCUAACAAAAAUUAAUUAUUAAGUAUAAAUAAUCCACUACGAGAAGAUGGUCGCCACCCUACUUGACCAUACACACCGAGACUUGUUGACUUUGCUAACUAUUGAUAUGUAUAAAAUAAUUUGCGAUAGAGAUCCUAAUGUUGUCUAGAUUGUGUUUGUCUUCUUGUAAUUGACUAUUGUCAAAAACAGUUUUUAGCAACAGCAAAUCACAAAAAGACAGCUGUUUUUUUGUACCAAUUCUGUUAAAAAAAAAUUUGUAACUAGUAGAUUAAAUGGUUAUAGAAAGCUAUGGAGAAAUCGAAAUUUGACUAUUAAAUAUUAAAAAAAAACGCAUAUAAAUCUAAAAUUAAGAAUUUAGAUGAUUAUCACGAGAAAAGGAAAUUUCUUGCACUUUAAGACGACGCGGUUAAGUAAAGUUAAACAUAUAUUUGGAAUUAAAGUGAAGGUUCCAAGCAGUUCCAUGUUGGGAGACAAAGACUCAAAAGUCUCAAAUUUAAUAAUUUUUUUUUCCUAUAAUCGUCUUACUUUUUUGGUUUUUAGUGUUGUCCAAUGUCUUUAUCAUAUAGUACGCGUUUGAGCCACAUUAUUUUUAAAGAAUGUAUUUUGAAAUAGCAGAUUGAUGAAGAAUAUAUGGCUAAAAAAUAGGAAAAAAAUUUCGAUUGGCGUAUAAUAUUAUUUUAUUGAAGAAUAUAUGGUUGAAAUGAUGUCAAAUCACUAUUUUAAAAUGUGACUCAAACAGGGCCGAUAAUAAUUAUAUGGUAGAAGACAAAUCACUUAUGUAAUUUGUUCAAAAGUGUUUUCUUUGGGUGUUGAAUAUUGAGUCAUUCACAUUGUUGUUCUAAUUUAGUUGUUUGAUUUGUAAGAUUGGAAGAAUUUUCUUGACUUGAGUGACAUAAAAAAGACUUUUUAUUCCGUUUAAACGAGAUAAAACACCUUUUUUCUUUGGUUCGAAAAUAGAUAAAUUUUACUAUAUUUCAAAAUAAAGUAACUUUUUAUUUAUUAAAAUGUGAUUAACUUGUUGGGAAUGAAAUUACAUCGAACUAAUAUAAAGUUUUUCCUGUUGAUCAUUACCUAUUGUUUGAAUAACAAGUCAACCAUUAAAAUUUAAUAAAGAACAAGUCAAUCAUCAAAGUUCCAUUAUAGUGACACAAUUUGUUCUUAUCAAUAGAAAACAUCAAAAUUUUCGUUGAACUAACACGUAACCUUGAUGAUAACAUAACCCAUUUUAAUUUCAUUAAUAGUUCUACAAUUUGACAAACAAAAUUUAUUUUUAUAAAGUGGAACAUAUAAAUAACAAGUAACAAUUUAAUAGAAAUUUGAAUUACUUUCGUUGUUGAAAAUUGAUUUUUCUCGACUUAUUACUCAAUUAUAACUCAAAAAUAAACCUAUCAAAUUAAUUGUUUAGCCCUUGUUUAAUGAACUUUUUGAAAUGGGUUUCGCGACAUGUACUCGAAAGUGCCCUCACAUGGGGGGCGGGUCCUACGUAUUUAUUGUGCGUGGGCACCGCCUCUUAUGUGAGGGACGAGUAACUGGACGUGUAAACGGGUACAAAUAGUAUUUUCCUUUCGAAAUUACUAGUUGAUGGAUUUCAUGAUAUCUACAGUUAAAAAUAAAUAAAUAAAAUUUGUUCGAUGGAAUGUGCGGUUAGAAAGAAAGUUUGAUGAAAUGAAAAUCCCAGAAAAGUUUGCUUCGAGGCAAUUUCAUAUUCAUCACUUCACCAAUUGAAACGGGUUUUUGGGACCCACUAUCAAACCUCCGUCAACUAUAAAAAAAACAUGCCAGCUUCAGUUUUCCCAAGCGUGUUUUUCAAAGCUGCUCUUCAAAUUCCUAUUCCUCUCCCACUUUCUUCUACCCUAACGCCGUGGCAUUCGCUGUCUCUGUCCGCCGUGACGGAAAAGACAAGAAAAUUUUAUCAGAAAAGGAGAAAUAAUUUGAAUUCAGAUGGCGGCACAGCCUCCGGCAAUGACAGACGGCGGAUCACAGCCUGUGACAGCGCUUUACGUUGGUGACCUCCACCCGAACGUGACCGAGAUUGAAUUAAGCGAGGCGUUCAGCCGAAUGGGAGACGUAAUAUCUGUUAAAAUUUGCAUGGACCAUACUACUGAGAGGUCACUUGGAUAUGGCUACGUCAAUUAUAGUAACCCUCAAGAUGGUAUGUUUCAUUCUUGGGUGUGUGUGGAAGAACAUGAAUUUUUAUUUUUUUUUUCUCUAUCUCUAAACAAUGAAUAGUUUUAUGUUUCUUGUUUUAUUUAACCAUGUCAUUUGACUGAAUCCUAGGUGUUAACUACCUUGUCUAAAUGUUCAAAACAAAGAUAUAUAUAUAUAUAUAUAUAUAUAGUGCUUGUGCUUUGAAUUUAGUCUCGAACAAGUCUCUAUUAUGAUACGAAAGAUUGAAUCCCUCUCAUAUGUUAUCAUGUCAAUUUUGAUAAUCGGAUCACAGGAAACUUGAAUAUGAUUGAUAUCAUACUAUGCUAUUAGAGAUAAUAUGGGUUUAUUUAAUCUCCUUUUGGCAAAUUUGUAAAUGGUUUAUAAAGUAUAAUAGUGGUGGGUCUUACGAAAUCUGUGAAGUAUCCAAACACUAAGAGAACUGAAUGUUGUGGACAAAUGCUGUGAAAUAUUGGAAGCAUUAACCUAAAAUGAUGGUAGAAGAGUUCUCAAAUUCUAUUUUAUGAUAUUCCUGAUUUUCAAUGAAAUAUUUGCUCAGAUCUUACACAACAAAACAAGGAUUUUUUUGCCUAAAUCGGUAGUGAGUUGAAUCAAAUGGAGAAGGAUAAAAAUAUUUAGUUUUUUAUUUGAAGUUUUUAGUGUUUGAACAUCCUUUCGUUUGACACUGUUCUUAUCUCGAAUUUAAAUUUUAUAUUUACUUGGAACUUUGAGUUUUUCUGGCUCCCUUUUUCUCUCCUUUUAGGCCUAACAUCACUUUUCUUUGAGUUCAUAAUAGCCGCAAGAGCCUUGAAGGAGCUGAACUUCACUAAUCUAAAUGGAAAACCUAUCCGAAUAUCAUAUUCUAAUCGAGACUCAAGCUUACGUAGAAGUAGUGCUGGAAAUAUAUUUGUUAAGGUACGCUUUAAUCUUUAUUCCCUUAGUUUAUUGUUUGGCAUGACCAUUUUGCUUAAUUUGGAAGAGAUUCAGAUAUCUUUCAAUCUUGCAGAAUUUGGACGUUGCAAUUGAUAACAAAGUAUUAAACGAGAUAUUUUCUUCAUUUGGAAACAUAGUUUCAUCCAAAGUUGAAACAGAUUCGUUUGGUCAGUCGAAGGGCUAUGGUUUCGUGCAAUACGAUACUGAGGAAGCUGCCCAGAAAGCUAUUAAUGAACAGAAUGGCAUGUCAUUGUAUGGCAAGCAAGUCUACGUAGGACAUUUCGUUAGCAAGCGAGAAAGAGAGAAUAAGACAAAAUUUACCAAUGUGUUUGUAAAGAAUUUGUCUGAAUCAAUAAGUGAAGAAGAUCUGAAGAUAAUAUUUGGUGAAUUUGGAUUGAUUACCAGUAUAGCAGUGAUGAGAGAUGAAGAUGGAAAUUCAAAAUGUUUUGGAUUUGUAAACUUUGAGAAUGCAGAGGAUGCUGCUAAAUGUGUUGAAUUUCUCAAUGGUAAGAAAUUCAAUGACAAGGAAUGGUAUGUUGGACGAGCCCAGAAGAAAUCUGAGAGGGAACGUGAAUCAAGACUUGAGUACGCCGAGAAGGAGACACGUGAAAGAUCAUUAGGAUUAAACAACCUCUAUAUCAAGAAUCUAGAUGAUAGCAUUGACGAUGAUAAGCUCAAGGAAUUGUUUUCUCAAUUUGGUGUUGUAACAUCGUGCAAG